AGAAAUUUUUAAUUGUUUAUGUUUAUAUUUUUUCUCUUAUAAGAAAAAUUAUGUUGUUCUUUUCUUAUGAUAUGUGGUUAACCCUAAUUUCCACCUGUAAGAUCUCCUUCCCUGGUUAGUCAAAAUUAAAUUAUUUUCCCCUUUUCUAAGUCACUUUUCAAAUUAAAGCAAAAGUUUUGGAAACACAAUUUUUUAUCAAUUGUUAGAUUGAUUAAGUGGCUCCACCUAUAUUUAUGAAAUCUUUUAGGUAGAGCUCAUCAAUCAACAAAUAUACAAAUUUGUAUAUUAAACUUUUGAACACAAUACAUGGUGUUAAAG
rnacentral:misc_RNA from 1 species